rnacentral:lncRNA from 1 species
AAGAUACGUCACUUUGAGAUCACAGAAUGAAAGCAGCAUGAAAUGUUAUGGCAAAGACAGCACAAAAAGAUACAAGAAUCUCACAAAUCCUCAAAAAUCAGGUGCUUGGCACACUGAACUUACUGAUCUGUGUAGGAUUUGUGCUGUGGUCCAUUUCUUGAAGAUGUGAAACAACAUCGAGUCUGAGAUUGGAAUUACUGACAGACUGGAGGAAAUUUUAGUCCUUGUGAUGCACAUGGACAUGCUGAAUUAUAAGUAAUUCUAGCUUCUUCUCCCCUCCCCUCCCCUCCCCUCAGCUAUCUCAGGGUUCAUAGAGAUUUCAAUGGUUUGUGUGCCUGUAAGCU